UGUUGUCAACUCGUGCCAUAAGGUGUUGGGUUAAGUCCCGCAACGAGUGCAACCCUCGUGUUUAUUUGCCAAUGUUGAGUUUGGAACUCUAAGAAGACUGCUAGUGAUAGGCCGCGGGAAGGUCCAGUUGGAGUCAA
rfam:Lupinus angustifolius cultivar Tanjil chromosome LG07, whole genome shotgun sequence.